AUUGAACGCUGGCGGCAUGCUUUACACAUGCAAGUCGAACGGUAGAGGGGGCAACCCCUUGAGAGUGGCGAACGGGUGAGUAAUGCAUCGGAACGUGCCCAGUCGUGGGGGAUAACGCAGCGAAAGCUGUGCUAAUACCGCAUACGAUCUCUGGAUGAAAGCGGGGGACCGAAAGGCCUCGCGCGAUUGGAGCGGCCGAUGUCAGAUUAGGUAGUUGGUGGGGUAAAGGCCUACCAAGCCAACGAUCUGUAGCUGGUCUGAGAGGACGACCAGCCACACUGGGACUGAGACACGGCCAGACUCCUACGGGAGGCAGCAGUGGGGAAUUUUGGACAAUGGGCGCAAGCCUGAUCCAGCAAUGCCGCGUGCAGGAAGAAGGCCUUCGGGUUGUAAACUGCUUUUGUACGGAACGAAACGGUCUGGGUUAAUACCCUGGGCUAAUGACGGUACCGUAAGAAUAAGCACCGGCUAACUACGUGCCAGCAGCCGCGGUAACAC
rnacentral:rRNA from 1 species